UACGUAGGGUGCAAGCGUUGUCCGGAAUUAUUGGGCGUAAAGGGCUCGUAGGCGGCCUGUCGCGUCGGGAGUGAAAGCCCACUGCUUAACGGUGGGUCUGCUUCCGGUACGGGCGGGCUGGAGUGUGGCAGGGGAGACUGGAAUUCUCGGUGUAGCGGUGAAAUGCGUAGAUAUCGAGAGGAACACCUGCGGCGAAGGCGGGUUGCUGGGCCGACACUGACGCUGAGGCGCGAAAGCCAGGGGAGCGAACGGG
rnacentral:rRNA from 1 species